GACGAACGCUGGCGGCGUGCUUAACACAUGCAAGUCGAACGGAAAGGCCUGCUUUCCCUUGUGGAUUGCGGGUACUCGAGUGGCGAACGGGUGAGUAACACGUGAGUGAUCUGCCCCCAACUUGGGUAUAAGCCUGGGAAACUGGGUCUAAUUCCCGAUAGGACUGCAGGGUGGUGCCUGUGGUGGAAAACGAUUUUCUAGUGGUUGAGGAUGAGCUCGCGGCCUAUCAGCUUGUUGGUGGGGUAAUGGCCUACCAAGGCGGCGACGGGUAGCCGGCCUGAGAGGGUGGACGGCCACAUUGGGACUGAGAUACGGCCCAGACUCCUACGGGAGGCAGCAGUGGGGAAUAUUGCACAAUGGGCGGAAGCCUGAUGCAGCGACGCCGCAUGGGGGAUGACGGCCUUCGGGUUGUAAACUCCUUUCGACCGCGAGGAAGCCACCUGGUUGGAAGGGUGGUGACGGUAGUGGUAGAAGAAGCACCGGCUAACUACGUG
rnacentral:rRNA from 1 species